rnacentral:rRNA from 1 species
UACGGAGGGUGCAAACGUUGCUCGGAAUCAUUGGGCGUAAAGCGCACGUAGGCGGCCUGUUAAGUCGGGUGUGAAAGCCCUGGGCUCAACCCAGGAAGUGCACUCGAAACUGGCAGGCUUGAAUAUGGAAGAGGGUCGCGGAAUUCCCGGUGUAGAGGUGAAAUUCGUAGAUAUUCGCAAGAACACCAGUGGCGAAGGCGGCUCACUGGCCCGGUACUGACGCUGAGGUGCGAAAGCGUGGGGAGCAAACAGG